CGCCUUGCUGGCCAGCCCCUCCAUCAGGUCGGCCCGGAGCUCCACGAGGAAGCGCAGCCCGCCCUCCAGGCGGCCCAGCUGCUGGAAGAGGCCGCGGUACUGCGGGCUCAGGGAAAACUUACUGUCUGCUUCAGCUGCUGCUUGGAAAAUGAAAACACAUCUCUGUCUGUCAGGACCUGAGGGCACCAUGAGAUGUCAGUGGCCCUGCCCACCUCACCUGGGACCUUCUCCAUGGGUUCAGGAGCUCCACUUCAGCUCAGCCUGGGGGUUUGAGACGCUUCUGCACGGAGCUGCAGGAGCCCCUCAUCCCAAAUUCCAGCCCCUCUUCCCUGGAUCUGCCUUGCCACCAUGAAAAUGUUUAUUUCUGAAAACUGAAUGUUAUUAUUAGAAAACUGGAGAUUGAAAGAGCCUAAUUGCACUUCAGUAAUUGUAAAUUUUGUCUCUGAGCAAAAAGAGAAGCUAAUAAAAGAUGGAAAGUCAAGUUGAUCCCAA